rnacentral:lncRNA from 1 species
AGAACCAACAGAACCGAACUGGAACCGGUAGGUUUGGAUUAGUUCGAUUCUUCAAGUCAUUUUAGUCAAAAUCCGAACCGAACUGGACCGAGUGAACAGUGCCGGUUUGGUUCAAAUUUUAAAUAAAAAUCGGGCUGAACCUAACUGUGCCCACCCUUACUUGGUCUACCUCCCUACGCAGGGCAUCCUCCAAGGCUCCUCCAACUUUCAAGUCUCGAAGUUGGUCAUUCAUAAGCUUCUCGACGUCUUCUACUCGCAAAGUUUGUGAGUCACGUUGGUGUCUCCCAUGAAGCAGGCGUCGCUGAUCGACCUCCUCAUUGACUAUUGGCGGUUGAUCUCCUCGGUUGUCUUGCUUGAGCAGCAUAUUGGUAGAUUGAGCUUGCGAGGGAUUUUCUGUGGCUUGUCUAUGUGAAAUGGCUCUUUCAAAGUAGGCUGGUGAGCAUCUUCAUGUAUCUCAUGAAGAGGAUCGCUAGGCUGAUCUCCUUGGGAGCCUAAUCUAGCAUGAAUUUUUCUCUACAGGCCUGGACGUGCAUGAACAUUUGAUUGCAGGCCUAACCUCUCGUGCACAUUAGUUUUGGGACCUACCCUCGAACAAAGAUUUGAUCUACUUGAGCUUGAGCUUGAGGAUGCUUUGAAAUACUAGAGUGCUAGGCAUCGCGUCCUUGUCAU